UUGGUAGUAAGUUGGAAACCCUGAAUUGCUUUAGCAAAAUAUGUCAAAAAUAAAUUGUGAACCUGUUAACGAAGCAAAAGUUACGUAUAUUGGACAGGUCAUAGUAUUCAAUAGGCCAAGAUGAAGAAUUGAUGAUUGAUGAGCCACACUGCGACAGUUGUUUGACAGUAAUGUAAUUUUUCUGUACACUUUGCAAGCGUGUAUGUUUGUAUGCAAAUUUAAGCAUAACAAACUGCGGUGAUUGUGCGUUCAUUUCUCGUGGUAGCUUUGAGUGACAGUUGACAAGUUGUGUGACUUCACCGGCGGGUGACAGAAAGGUCUUAAUUUGUACUGACGGGGAAUAUAGCAUCAGCAUGAGAUUGAAGUGGGCAAUUGUUGCAUUUUAUGGAAAUCAAGGCAGUUUAGAUAUAUGUGUGUCCCAUCUUGUACUUAUUUUAAUACUGCAUUAUUUUUUUUGCUUAUUGUAUUGUGUGCGCGUGAAAAUUCGAUAAAUUAUAUUCCAAUACUAACCAACAAUUUAUUUGAUAACUUAUAAUUAAAAAUUUAAUUUGCUGAGAUAUCAACUUAAGUUCUUUGUAUUUUUUUCAGAAGUAAAUUGAUUUUGGGUUUUGGGUGGGGAAUAUAUGUAUUUAGUAUAGAUAAUUGGCGGAAAAAGUAAGAUUGUAUAUGUAAGUAUAUGCAAUAAUAGGUAUAUUUGACUGGUCAUAGGAAUAAAUGAAGUAAGCUUAAUGCUUAGUAAAUUAACUAACCAUAACUAAGCCACAUAUUAUAAUACAAAACUGUUAUUUGGUAACGAGAAUCGCAAUAAAGAUGGCAAUCUGCGGUUAACAUUUUUUAAGUGGACGUGGCCCAGCUUAUAUGCUUGAUGCAAAUAUAAUAUAUCACAAAUUAUUUAAAAUGAUAAUGAUAAAAUUUCUAGCAAUAAAUAUAGUGAUUUUUAUCCUCUG